UGGGGAAUUUUGGACAAUGGGGGCAACCCUGAUCCAGCAAUGCCGCGUGAGUGAAGAAGGCCUUCGGGUUGUAAAGCUCUUUUGUCAGGGAAGAAACAGCAGCUCUAACACAGUCUGCGAAUGACGGUACCUGAAGAAUAAGCACCGGCUAACUACGUGCCAGCAGCCGCGGUAAUACGUAGGGUGCAAGCGUUAAUCGGAAUUACUGGGCGUAAAGCGUGCGCAGGCGGUUAUACAAGACAGGCGUGAAAUCCCCGGGCUUAACCUGGGAAUGGCGUCUGUGACUGUAUGACUAGAGUGUGUCAGAGGGGGGUAGAAUUCCACGUGUAGCAGUGAAAUGCGUAGAUAUGUGGAGGAAUACCAAUGGCGAAGGCAGCCCCCUGGGAUAACACUGACGCUCAUGCACGAAAGCGUGGGGAGCAAACAGG
rnacentral:rRNA from 1 species